ensembl:snRNA U6 U6 spliceosomal RNA
AUGUAUAAUGUGCUUGCUUUUAUACUAAAAUUGGAAUUAUGUGGAGAAAAUUAGCAUGGCCCCUGAGCUAGGAUGCCAUGUAAAUUCUUACAGCCUUUCAGGUUUUA